GACGAACGCUGGCGGCGUGCUUAACACAUGCAAGUCGAACGGAAAGGCCUCUUUCGGGGGGUACUCGAGUGGCGAACGGGUGAGUAACACGUGAGUAACCUGCCCUUGACUUUGGGAUAACUUCAGGAAACUGGGGCUAAUACCGGAUAGGAGCUCCUGCUGCAUGGUGGGGGUUGGAAAGUUUCGGCGGUUGGGGAUGGACUCGCGGCUUAUCAGCUUGUUGGUGGGGUAGUGGCUUACCAAGGCUUUGACGGGUAGCCGGCCUGAGAGGGUGACCGGCCACAUUGGGACUGAGAUACGGCCCAGACUCCUACGGGGGGCAGCAGUGGGGAAUAUUGCACAAUGGGUGGGAGCCUGAUGCAGCAACGCCGUGUGCGGGAUGACGGCCUUCGGGUUGUAAACCGCUUUCGCUCAUGACGAAGCUUUGUGUGACGGUAGUGGGUAAAGAAGCACCGGCUAACUACGUG
rnacentral:rRNA from 1 species